AAGGCUUGGGAGGUUUCGAUGUGCAUUCUUGCACGAUUAAUUUAUUGAAAAAGUUGAUAACUAAUCCCUUGGCUGAAAUGUACAGCAUGGCUGGAGCAAAAAAGAAAAAGGCUUUUCAAGAUUUGAUUUUGUAUAAAAUCAUACUUAAAACUGUCCGCGUUCAUUAUAAAGAUACGACUGAGACGGAGAUUGCCCAAAUUAUCGCAAAAUGGCUAGUACAAGCCAAAGCUCGUCGCGAGAGAAAAAAAUGUCGAUAUAUUGAAGAAAACAGCGACCUCGUCAUCAUCACAUAACUCAU